rnacentral:lncRNA from 1 species
GAAGUGAACAAAAUCUAUAUAUAUCUGGCUGAAUAAAUCGUGGUGGAAAUGGUCUUAAUGGACUCAUCAUAUGCCUAAUUCCUCCUAAAGGUGGUACUUGCCUUCGAAUUGGAACCAAAUGUCCAACCAUUAUUGGUCUCGGAGGAAAACCCUAAUGACCAAUGAAAUUUAAUGUCAGAAGAAUUAUAUUCCACGUAUAAAUUGAAUACUUACUCCAUAAUAAACAGGAACAGGAAUGGGUUCAAUAUAAUGUGAUGAAGGCAAUAUGCUUUUCCUCUGCAGUGUGCAAUUGACUAUGUGGCCUGACUUUUUCUUUAUACUCUCUACUUCCACCUCUACUAUGAUCUCUGUCUCUAAAUAAAUUAUACAACACUACAAUAAAACUGAAAAAUAAACAUAUUAAACAAAUAUACAAAAUUAUAACAAAUAAU